rnacentral:rRNA from 1 species
UGUCUUUUAGAAUUUAAUUUAAAGUCUAACCUGCCCACUGAAAAUUUUAAAUGGCCGCAGUAUCCUAACUGUGCAAAGGUAGCAUAAUCAUUAGUCUUUUAAUUGAAGGCUGGAAUGAAUGGUUGGAUGAAAUAUUAACUGUUUCAUAUAAAUUUAUAAUAGAAUUUUAUUUUUUAGUCAAAAAGCUAAAAUUUAUUUAAAAGACGAGAAGACCCUAUAAAUCUUUAUAUUUAGUAUAUUUUAAUUAUUUAGAUAAUUUAAAUUAUUAUAUUUUUAAAUAUUUUAUUGGGGUGAUAUUAAAAUUUAAUAAACUUUUAAUUUAUAGUGUACAUAAAUUAAUGAAUUUUUGAUCCAUUUAUUAUGAUUAUAAAAUUAAGUUACUUUAGGGAUAACAGCGUAAUUUUUUUAGAGAGUUCAUAUUGAUAAAAAAGAUUGCGACCUCGAUGUUGGAUUAAGAUAUAGUUUUAGGUGCAGCAGCUUAAACUUAAAGUCUGUUCGACUUUUAAAUUCUUACAUGAUC